GCCUGCGUAGCUCAGUUGGUAGAGCAGCGGUAUCGUAAACCGCAGGUCGUCGGUUCGACCCCGACCGCAGGCU
rnacentral:tRNA from 1 species